UUCAAUUAUGAUUUGAUCUCGUUUCCAUUCCUGCAUCUCUACAUGAACAUUUUUAUUGUAUUAAGGAUGAAUUUUUGCAUUGUAUUUAGGAUGAAGUUAUCUUCUCGCUGUCCGCUGUCUGAUUUAGUGUAUUCUUUUGCGAAUUUAUCUUAUAUUUUGCUAGGAAUUACAACAGCUUACUACGUCUUUGACAGUUGCAUUUGAUAAAGAAAAAGCAUGAAGCAACAAAACAGUAAAAGUAUACUGUAAUGAUGUAGCUGGGUAAAGCAUAGUAUGGGUAAAGUUUAUGCUGGAAAAUCUAUAGCAGAAGAUUAUGAUGAUUUGAAAACAUAGUUUUCAGAUAUUGCAUCCUAAGGCAGCAUUUGAAUCUAAGCAUGAAGGUGUGUGAUGUGAUGUGGGAUCCGUGGCGGAGGAGAAGGCUCCCUUUGAACUUACACUUCUCACAUUUUUGCCAUUGAUUUGGGUUAUUCUAAAUUACCAAGAUUCUAAUGCUUUUUAAUUUUUUUUAUGAAAUUUAUGAAAAGAAAAGAUUGAGUAAGAAAAUCAUUCCUCCCCGACUCAGCCACUUGUCAUGUUUGGCAGAUAAGCGCGCUGAUUGGCUGUUUGAGAUCAUGCGACUCGUGGUCGUGGUGGCGUGAUGUUUUCAUUGACAAUCAAAUUUUCAUGGACAAUGCAGUCGUUUGCUACGAAGUUCGGUUUGGCCACAUGAAUGCUAAGUAGACUUCUAAAUAAUAUACGUACUGUGAAAAGAAAUUUUCAGAAUUCUUCGAGCUUUUUCAUCCUUUCAUGAUCCAGUCGCAUUUUGAAGUGGGCUCGUGACAGACAGUUUCAAGCAGUGGAAAGGGAAGAAGUCCGUUUGGCAGGUUCGGUGAUCACUGCAGGUACCUCGCAACAACAAUAUCUGGAAGGUGCAGAUUCCAGGUGCCAAUAUGAUUGGAAGAGAUUCUGCAGGAGCUGAAAUCGACCCUGAACUUUUGAUAUUAGAAUAUGAUGUGAUCCCAGACGAGGAAGUCGAUAGAAUGUUGCAUUGCUCACGAAAAGAGCCAGGAAGAAUUUCUGAUGUUGAAUCGAUGAGAGCACUACUGCAAGACGAACUCAAAAAGAACAAAAGAUUUCUUGAAAAAUUGAAAGAAAUUUCGCGAAAAUAUCGAAAAGCAUUGAAGAAAAUUGAAUAUCAACAAUUGCUUAUAACUGAAAUGGCAAGUGCACUUGAAAAUGAAAGAGAAAAUUCUAAAAACUCAUUAAUGAGCGAAGAUUUUGCACUCGUUGCCUACGGAUCUUUGAGAAUAGAAGAAUGCGAUGAACUGGAUAGCUGAGGCAUUGUGGCAAGUCAAAGGAUGACAAACAUCGAGGGAAGAUUCAAUCCACAAUUAUAUUUACUUGAUGCAUUAUGUUUUUGAUAAAUAUUUUGAUUGAAUAUUUUACUUUGAUUAAAGUUAAUUAAGAGAAAAAUUUCCCAAAACAAUAAAAAUCUUUUUUACCACAGCCAAGCCGAAGAAUCAAGGGUUUUUGUUUUCAAAAAUGAUAUUUUGCCCAGAGGUUUGCAAAGCCGGUACUUCUUAUUAAUAUUUCCAACCAUAAGAAAUGUCUUAAAAUUCUAAAAUAAUGCAAAAGCGGGCUAAUAUUGAAUAUCAGUCAAACUUCAGAACGGACAUUUGUGGAGACACUCCAUUUGUGGAGAUAUGCAAGCUGCAAAAGCCUUACGUUAAGUCUGUUCUUGGUUAAUUUUUCUACGCUUAAACAGCUACUAAACAUCGGAUGAAUCUAUCUUUCUGAAGUUGAUGCCUUAAGAUUUCAGAGUGUAACAACCCUGGAUUCCCUCAAACAAUUUUUGAAUCUUUACCUUCCUCGGGGUCACCUCGUCAACCCAGAACACCUUUAUUGUAUAGACCCAAGAUAACGUUAUCCCAACAUAUUAUCCACGCCAUUGUAUGAAAUUAUUCAGGAUCUGAUAAUCUAAUCGACUUUUACUCUUAGAAGGAUUAUCCAUAGAAUGUGUAGAUAAUAUUAUCGUUAUUAUAAAAUGAGAGUAUGUACAGUAAUUAAUAGUUUAAUAAAGAAAGAGUGCUUUUCGUUGCCCUCUAUAAUCAAUAAAUAUCUUAGUUGUAUCGAUACAAAGUUUGCAGGUUUCGUGACACCUGUGUUAUCCAAUUGUUAACAAAAGCAUUUUUAUGAAA